rnacentral:lncRNA from 1 species
AUUUUCUGCUGAUAAAUAUAGAGUAUCCUUUUCUUUUCUAGUAGAAUUUAUUUUUUUAAAGCAGUAUCAGCUUCACAGAAAAAUUGAAUGGAAAUUAUAAAUAUUUACUAUACACAUGCACAGCCUGCCCCACUGUCAAGAUCCCCCACUAGUCUGGUAGAUUUGUUACAGUAGAUGAACCAAUAUUGACACAUCAUCUCCCAAAGUCCAUGGUUUACACUAGGGUUCUCUCUUACUGUUCUAUAUGUGGGUUUGACAAAUGGAUAAUGACUUGUACCCACCAUUAUAGUACCAGGCAGAAUAGUUUCAUUGCCCUGAAAAUCCCCUGUGCUCUGCCUAUUUGCUUUUCUUAUGGGAUGAGAAAAAUGUUGAAAAUUAGGUUGUGCUGAUGUUUGAACAUCUGUGAAUAUACUAAAAAACAUUCAGUUGUACACUCUAAUGAGUGAACUGUAUAGUAUGUGAGCUAUUCAUUAAUCAAGCUGUUAAAGUUUUUUGUGAAGACUUUUUUCAUUAUUUGAAUAUUUUCAUUGUUCAGAUUUUUGGGGAAGUCUGUCUACAUGGAGUCCAGAAACCUACAAAUUACUGACAUUGGAAUAUUUCUAACCUUUCCUUUCUCCUACCUGGUAAAUGAGUUCUUGCCUUGCUUGCAGUUUUUUUUUUCCCUUCACCUCCUCCUCUGAGGGUAACCUGUGAGAAAAAUUCUUCCCCUUUUAUCCCUCAUGCAUAUUUUAAAAAGGAAAGGGAAUGCUAUAAAAAUAAGGCAUGCGUAUUUUAAAGUUGCAAUGGGAUUUUUUUCAGAUAAUUUGACUAAAGGCCCUUGUGUUACUAUAGGAAAUGGAUGGAAAGGGGUUCAUAUUAAGCAUUGUUGUGAUCUAAGCAUCAUUUUCCUAUUACUUGAGAAAUCCAAGUGCACUUUUGCUUAUUUUCAAAUUACGUUUUGAUUGUGAAAACAUAUCCCUAAUGAUUACUGGACAAUUUGAAUCAUGGCUUCAAUUUAUUUAUAAUUUUGGGGGGUAGGCAUAAGGUAAGUUUUGGCUCUCAGCUGAAUCCCAGAACAAAAUCUCUCCAGACUUGAACUAUUUGUUCAUUUUUCCCAUUUUUAUCAGACAGUUGCAACUGGAAUCCUAAAGAAUAGAGGAUUGUAGAGGUAGAGCUGAGAGGUUAUCAGAAUGUCAUCAAACGAAAGAGACAUGGUUAAGGCGAUGCUAAUAUCAAAAGCGAAAAUUGUGGGAACAUUGCUUUUCUGGACUGGAGGUACCAGCGAGAAAAAUAUAUCACACAAUGCUUUGUGAGUCAUACUAAAGUGAGAAAUUAAAAAAAAAAAAAAGAAACCUUUUGGAAGUAGCAAACUGGAAAUUGAUUUUUAUUCCAAAAUGUGUUUAUAUAGACACUUUUUAGGUGCCUAUAGAUGGUAUAAAAGGGCUAGAUGUGAACUGCUUGAUCUUAAACAAUUCUUAAUCUCACCAAAUUUUGGGGGUUUUAUUUGUAAACAUGGGAUUAUACCAGAAAUUUAUGCAGUUGUUUUGAGAUUUAAGAGGGAUAAUAUAUUAAAAAGUACCUGGUACAUAAUAGUUGCUUAAGAAAUGCUAACUUCCUUUGCUCCCUUCUCUUUUCUUCUUUAUGCAAAAUUUCUACUAAUCUCAAAAGAAGCCUCGAAUUUACAUGAAGAUCUUCUUUGACUGAAAACCACAGGGAAAGAUAAUUAAGCUUAAUCGAUGAGCAGAUAUAAACACACAUUAACAGAUGCACCAUUUUAUAGUGGCAAAAGCUGACUGCUUUACAAAUGCUUAUUAUAAAACAUGGCAUUAAUCAAGAAGACUAAUUUUGAUGCUGAUGUGAUUUGAAGUGCUUCCACUCAAACUCCACCUCAGGAAAGUAAUAUAUUCAAUUGGGGCAAAUCCCUGUUGGCUGAUUUUAUGUAUAGUAGCUUUUCUGCCUAUGGGAAUAUGAUUAAUUUGAAAGUGUAACAAAAAGAAUCAGAUGCUAGGAGAACUCAAAUUUAAUUUCUGGAUUAGUUAAUGUUUCAGCUUUUAGGAUUUUCCUUUUAUUCAAGAGCUUUCCCAAGUUAUUUCAUAUGAUCUGAUCUGGAGUGUUCAAAUAUAGGAAAGCAGAUAGACAUGUUUCCAGCAUAUAUUUCUUUGAUUCAUCUGAUAAUGAAAUUUAAUUUUAUUAUAACACUGCAUCAUAUUGUAUUUAGAUAUUUAUCUUUACGUCUUGCCAUCCAGGCAAAUCCCUAGAGGAGGGAAAUACAUUUGGCUUGCUCAGACUUGUUAUCCUAAUAUCUCAAAUUGUGUUUGGUCCACAUGAGUGGACCUAUCAUUGUUUAAAAUAGCCCAAAUUGAGUCAGGGUUACUCAAAACAUUGUUUGAAAAAAAAUUCCUAAAGUUUUAUUUGAUAUUGAUUUACACCAUAAAUACAUAAGUGCUCUGCCUAAAGUAAGCAUAGGAAGUGCAAUAAACAAGAGAGAGAUACAGUCAUAGCCAUUGACUGGAGCUGUGCAUAGAGCAUAGUUUAAUGUUAAGAGCAUGGACUUCAGAGCCAGCCUGCCUGGAUUUGAGACCCACUUUUCCCAUUUUACAGCUGUGUGGCCUUGUUCUGGUUACCCAACUCAUAUGUGCCUCUAUUUUCAUUUGAGAACUAGACAUAAUAGUAUCCUCCUAAAAUGUAGGACAGUGCUCAUUAUCUAAUGAAUACUUUUUCAUAGCUUAUCCAAGACUAAUUUUAGGAAAGUUUUGAUGAGCCAGUCUGAAAGGAAUCAUCAGUUAGUGUGUGUUUCUGCUAAGUACAUAAAGUUGAUUUUAGAGAAAAUAAAGUUCCCAGGCUAGGGGUAGAAUUGGAGCCUAUUGUGGCCAAUGCCACAGCAACAGGGGAUCCAAACCGCAUCUACUACCUACACCGCAGCUCACGCCAACACCAUAUCCUUAACCCACUGAGAGAGGCAAGGGAUCAAACCUGCAUCCUCAUGGAUAUAAGAUGGGUUGUUAACCCUGAGCCACGACAGGAACUCCAAGAUUAAUCUUUUUGCAUUUUUUUAGCUGAGCACUCUUCCCAAAUGAACCAUCUCUUCUCUAAAAUGGAAGAUGGAUUAGCUUAUUCUUUUCGAGUUUCAUUUAAUUCCAAACUUUCCCUGAAGCUCUUUUGUUUGCUUUUUCUACUGUGACAAUAUUGAAGAGUUCUGCUCAGUAUUAUAGACAGUUCUAAUCAAGGCUUCAUUGUACACAAUAUGUACUUAGAAAAAAUCUACACCUGAUUAUGCCAAAGCAAGUUGAGAGUUGUUUUUCAUUUCACUUGGUUGUGGCAUUUUUAUUAGGUCCCAGAUUGCUUACUUUGCCUUAGACAUUUCCUAUGUUAAUUAAACUGAUGAUGGUUCCACUGCUUAAAUUCUUUCCUUUUUAAAGAGUUGAAUGAAGGGGAGAAUGCCUUAGAGUAUUUUUGAAACUUUUGUAUUUAAACUGCAAUAUGAAUAUGUAAUCUUGUUUCUCUUCCUUAUAACCAGUGAAAUUCCAGAGAGAGAAAUAUUUGGAGCCCAAUUUAUAAACUCUUGAUUGACAAUUGAAAAAUUGCUCUUUGCCAAAUAAGAGUAUCUCUUUAGAUGUCAACAAAAUUAAGCACAAUGUACAAACCUUUUUUUUAAUAUUUCAAGAUGAAAGAAAAUGAAUUAAAAAUAAAAGUUGGUGUGACAUUAUGUCAUUGCAUUAUCAGACAAAAUUUGCUAUUUAUUUAUAAUUAGACUAGAGUUUUAGCCUCUGCAAUAUUUUUUCAUAUAUUUGAAAGUCAACACUGAUGGUUAAAAAAUCUUUAAAAUUUCCUUAAAAUCCUUGACACUAAUUAUACAAUUAUUUCUUUUGGAUAGUAUGACAUUUGAGUUUAGGGGAAAUGAGUUAACUAUUGCACUAAUUAUUAUAACUAUGCCAGGCAUCCUCACUCCCUUAAAAAGGACAGUAACUGGGUGUCCUUUCACAGAUCUGGGGAUGUUUCUUUUCCAUUGGCUGCAAUUCUCUUGCAGUAUUAGCAUUAGAAUAACACCCAAGUGUCCUCUCCGUGUUUACAAAUAUAGAGCAAGAAUCAUUACACGGCUCUUGGAUUAAUUUUUUUUUUUUUUUUGAAACAAACGAGGUAGGUUCUUCAAAUGUAAAACAUGGGCUUGAAUGCUUGCUGAUCUUAAGCACAAGUUCCAAGUCAAUCCUACGUUGAUAUUUUUGUGUUAGGCCAGUCCACAGAAUUUGACCCACUAAGGUAUUUGGUAUAUGUGUCCGUAAUAUGCAACUGCCUCCUAAGGACCGAAUGUCUCUGCAGUCAUAUGAUGUUUUCUGAAAUGCGAACACCAUGUAAGAGUAGAUGGUUAAUCCACUCUUUUUUUUUCCUCCUGCUCAUUUUUGCUCUGCUGAAAUGUUGGGACCGCCAAACACUUCUCUUUGCUUAGCUGCAAUUGCUUGGAGAUUUUUCCCUUUCUUUCAUCUGCCAAGAUAAAUGCUCUUUUCUUUAAAACCAGACCUUACUAUUACAAGAAAUAUAUACAUCUUUUUAAAAAAAAAGAGAUAGAGUAGGAAAGAUGUUUUUGGUUCCAGGAGCUACAGAGGGAAAUAUUUUCUUGUUCACUGAGUAUUGUCUUUAAAAUCAUCUUUUAAAUGCAUCUCAGUCAGUAGGAAUACACAACUGGUGUGUGGUUAUAUGUAAAAAAAUAGUAAAACAACAACAACAACAACAAAAAACCAAGCAAACCCAAAAGUAACAAAACUUCCGUAACAUGUCUCAAAAUGAAGAAACAUUUCCAUCUCAGCAUUUAUUAUUCAUCAGAUCUACCAAAUUCUUAUUUUAAUUUUGAAAGCAGCAAGUAUGAUUGGACAUCAUAUCACAGGAAUAUACUUUUAGAAACUAGGCAUUUAAAGAUAGUCUAGAAUAUACUAGUGGUUGACUUAGAGGGUUUAGUAUCAAUAUCAGCUAAGCUAUAUCAAAGUGUAUUUAUUAUUUUUAAUGACUAUCUCAAAUUCAGGGAGAGUGCUAUUACUCAACAUUGUCAACUGAGGCUUAUAGAAAUAACUUGGUUCACUGUCACUGUGGUGAAAAUUAAAUCAAAUUAAAGUUCUGAUUCUAAAGACUGGGGAGGAGGGGAAGACACUAUAAAAUUCCAUUUGUGUGCCUGGCAAGGACUUAAAACUUUACUUGUAUUUGUGCGAAGUUGGUAUUAGUUAAACUAGUCAUUGAAUAUAAUUAGAAACUGGAAAAACACCUUAUAUUUAUAGCUUCUGCAUUUAAGGAGUUUGGAAUCUGUAUUAGCAAUCCAGUGCUGUGUAAUAAUUUAUACACACUUAGGGGCUUGAAACAACGCAUACUUACAGUCUUAGUUUCUGUGGGUCAGAAGUCUGGACAGAACUUAACUGGAUCCUCUGUUUAGUUUUUAACAGGAUGCAGUCAAGGCGUUAGCCAGGGUAGAGGUCUCAUCUGAAGACCCAUCUGAGGAAGGAUCUGCUUCCAAAUUCACCUGGUGUUAGCAGCAUUCAGGUCCCUGACAGCUAUCAGAUUGAGGGACUCUGUUUCUUAUUGGCUAAUAUCCAGAGGCAGUCAUUAGUUCUUUGUCAUGUGGAAUUCUCCAACAUGUCAAAUUUCUGUCCAAUUUAGACCUAAAUAAACUUUAAUUAUAAUUUUAAUUUUCAUGGUUCUCCCUCUCCCUCUCUCUCUCCCCCUCCCUCUGACACAUACACACAUCACUCUUUUUCCUUUUAUUUGUUUCUUACCAACUAUGCCUUACCUAAGGCCUCCAUGGCCUAAAGCACCUCAUAUUUGGGUUUUCAAGUAUUUUCUAUCUUAUGAAAUGUAUGUGUCUAUAUCUGGUGUCACGUGACUCAUUCUUUUUGACUCUACUUUGCCUUUCUUAAGGACCCCUCAGCGAAAAAGAAUAACCAAAGGAAAAUAAUGAGAACUUAAAGGAAAUCUCUUAGUUUAACUAGUUGCCUUAGUUGUCUAUUAGUUUUAGGUCAUAAAAUGCUAGACCUUAAAACCAUACAUCAUGUUUAUUUUCAUUUCUAUUCUCUAAGUGUUCACUGCAGAUUCUCAGUAAAUGCUAGUUUUCAUGCUUAAAUGGAACUUGUCAGUUGAUAAUGAGGCGCUAUGCCUGAUUUUGUUAAUAAGCAAAGACUUGUGUUCUCUAACUAGUCUUGGAAUGCCUGUGCACACUGUCACAGCAGAGGAGGGAACUAAAAGCUUGAUUAAAAAAAAGAAACAACAGCAAGAUCCCCAGUGUGCCCCCAGGGUAGCUGGCAUUGGUUUGUGAUAGCUAACAAGUAAUAUUUUUCUUUUCCAAUUUGCAUUAUC